rnacentral:rRNA from 1 species
UACGUAGGAUGCAAGCGUUGUCCGGAUUUACUGGGCGUAAAGCGCGCGCAGGCGGCAUGGCAAGUAAGGUGUGAAAUCCAUCUGCUCAACGGGUGGGGUGCACUUUAGACUGCCAAGCUAGAGGUCGGUAGAGGGGGGGUGGAAUUGCUGGUGUAGCGGUGAAAUGCGUAGAGAUCGGAAGGAACACCAGUGGCGAAGGCGGCUACCUGCCUAAUACUGACACUGAGGCACGAAAGCGUGGGGAGCAAACAGG